rnacentral:snRNA from 1 species
UUGCUUUGGCAGUAAAUAUGCUAAAAUUGGAAUGAUACAGAGAUUAGUGUUGCCCCCAGGCAAGGAUGAUACAUAAAUUUGUGAAGCAUUCCAUAUUUUA